rnacentral:rRNA from 1 species
AUUGAACGCUGGCGGCAGGCCUAACACAUGCGAGUCGAGCGGAUGAAGGGAGCUUGCUCCUGGAUUCAGCGGCGGACGGGUGAGUAAUGCCUAGGAAUCUGCCUGGUAGUGGGGGAUAACGUCCGGAAACGGGCGCUAAUACCGCAUACGCCCUGAGGGAGAAAGUGGGGGAUCUUCGGACCUCACGCUAUCAGAUGAGCCUAGGUCGGAUUAGCUAGUUGGUGGGGUAAAGGCCUACCAAGGCGACGAUCCGUAACUGGUCUGAGAGGAUGAUCAGUCACACUGGAACUGAGACACGGUCCAGACUCCUACGGGAGGCAGCAGUGGGGAAUAUUGGACAAUGGACGAAAGCCUGAUCCAGCCAUGCCGCGUGUGUGAAGAAGGUCUUCGGAUUGUAAAGCACUUUAAGUUGGGAGGAAGGGCAGUAAGUUAAUACCUUGCUGUUUUGACGUUACCAACAGAAUAAGCACCGGCUAACUUCGUG